GCGGAGGAAAAGAAACCAACAGGGAUUACCUUAGUAACGGCGAGUGAAGCGGUAACAGCUCAAAUUUGAAAUCUGGUCCCCUCUGGGGGCCCGAGUUGUAAUUUGAAGAGGAUGCUUUUGGCGAGGCGCCUUCCGAGUGCCCUGGAACGGGACGCCACAGAGGGUGAGAGCCCCGUAUGGUAGGACGCCGAGCCUCUGUAAAGCUCCUUCGACGAGUCGAGUAGUUUGGGAAUGCUGCUCAAAAUGGGAGGUAAACCCCUUCUAAAGCUAAAUAUUGGCCAGAGACCGAUAGCGCACAAGUAGAGUGAUCGAAAGAUGAAAAGCACUUUGAAAAGAGAGUUAAACAGCACGUGAAAUUGUUGAAAGGGAAGCGCUUGCGACCAGACUUGCGCCCGUCGGAUCAACCGUCCCUCGUGGGCGGCGCACUCCGGCGGGCUCAGGCCAGCAUCAGUUUUCCCGGGGGGAGAAAGGCGGUGGGAAUGUGGCUCUUCGGAGUGUUAUAGCCCUCCGCGUAAUGCCCCCGGGGGGACUGAGGACCGCGCGUAAGCAAGGAUGCUGGCGUAAUGGUCGUCAGCGACCCGUCUUGAAACACGGACCAAGGAGUCGUCCUAAUAUGCGAGUGUACGGGUGUAAAACCCCUGCGCGUAAUGAAAGUGAACGGAGGUGAGAGCUUCGGCGCAUCAUCGACCGAUCCUGAUGUUCUCGGAUGGAUUUGAGUAAGAGCAUAUUGGGCCGGACCCGAAAGAAGGUGAACUAUGCCUGUAUAGGGUGAAGCCAGAGGAAACUCUGGUGGAGGCUCGCAGCGGUUCUGACGUGCAAAUCGAUCGUCAAAUAUGGGCAUGGGGGCGAAAGACUAAUCGAACCUUCUAGUAGCUGGUUUCCGCGA
rnacentral:sRNA from 1 species